rnacentral:rRNA from 1 species
CUUUUGUGGGGUGCUCGAGUGGCGAACGGGUGAGUAACACGUGAGUAACCUGCCCUUGACUUUGGGAUAACUUCAGGAAACUGGGGCUAAUACCGGAUAGGAGCUCCUGCUGCAUGGGGGGGUUGGAAAGUUUCGGCGGUUGGGGAUGGACUCGCGGCUUAUCAGCUUGUUGGUGGGUAGUGGCUUACCAAGGCUUUGACGGGUAGCCGGCCUGAGAGGGUGACCGGCCACAUUGGGACUGAGAUACGGCCCAG